AAGCCCUUAAGAACAGGAAGUCCAACCUCCUGGAUUCAACAACCAAUCAAGUUUUAGUAUGAGUGUAUUUACCGUGAGCCGCGAACUGUAAUCUCAGUAUGUUGUGAUCGAAGCACUCACAUUUUCAGUACAUGUAAGACAGUAUGGACACGAAGCAGUCCGCAGAAACUCACUGCAUUGUAAACAGCGGUUUAGUUUCUAGGCCGGAGGGAAACGACUUGAGGAAAGGAGAACUGAAAAGAACACCAUUCUCAAAGUUUAAGAAAGUAAACUCCAACUUUAAAUCACCUUGUCAUGGCUACCUGCUUUGCACCUCAAAGCUUCAAGUAACCCCAAGUGCUAAAGUUAGCCCUGCAGAGGAAGUGGUGCAGCUGGAAAGGAGAAAGGAGCAGUUGGACACAGAGAUAGCACAGCUGGAGGCUGAAGGAUACAGAGUAGAGGAGCUGGAUCAUCAUAUUGCUAAGCUGCAUGAAUACAAUGACAUCAAAGACAUUGGGCAGUCACUUCUCGGCCGUAUCGUGUGAGCAAACACCACAUGCUGCAACUGCACGAGGUUGAGGAAGUAUUGAGGAGUUCACACCUUUCACACUGCUGCUAGCACAGUGCUGCUGCUCUGAGGGGAACCACCACACGAGAUCUCUACAGCCACUUUGGUCUGGAACUGGAUGACUGAGAGCAAGAAUGAAAAUCCAAGGGGAGAUGAGCUGAGGAUAAAAGCAAAUGCCAAAGAAUCUUUUGAGAAGAAUUUGGAGUUGGACUAAAGAUGUUACUCCAGGAACUGUGUUGACCUCAGCUGGCUCCUUUAGACAGAGGUUUGCCCAUUUACUGAUGGUUCUAUUUUCAUCUCACACAAAGCAGUUUUAUUACCAGCAG